rnacentral:rRNA from 1 species
GUGGGGAAUAUUGCGCAAUGGACGAAAGUCUGACGCAGCGACGCCGCGUGAGGGAUGAAGGUUUUCGGAUCGUAAACCUCUGUCAGGAGGGAAGAAAGCGCAUGGCGCCAAUCAGCCAUGCGUUGACGGUACCUCCAAAGGAAGCGCCGGCUAACUCCGUGCCAGCAGCCGCGGUAAUACGGAGGGCGCGAGCGUUAAUCGGAAUUACUGGGCGUAAAGCGCGCGUAGGCUGUUGUGUAAGUUGGGGGUGAAAUCCCACGGCUCAACCGUGGAACAGCCCUUGAUACUGCGCGACUUGAAUCCGGGAGAGGGUGGCGGAAUUCCAGGUGUAGGAGUGAAAUCCGUAGAUAUCUGGAGGAACAUCAGUGGCGAAGGCGGCCACCUGGACCGGUAUUGACGCUGAGGCGCGAAAGCGUGGGGAGCAAACAGGAUUAGAAACCCCAGUAGUCC